GAUGAACGCUGGCGGCGUGCCAAAUACAUGCAAGUCGAGCGAACGGACGAGAAGCUUGCUUCUCUGAUGUUAGCGGCGGACGGGUGAGUAACACGUGGAUAACCUACCUAUAAGACUGGGAUAACUUCGGGAAACCGGAGCUAAUACCGGAUAAUAUUUUGAACCGCAUGGUUCAAAAGUGAAAGACGGUCUUGCUGUCACUUAUAGAUGGAUCCGCGCUGCAUUAGCUAGUUGGUAAGGUAACGGCUUACCAAGGCAACGAUGCAUAGCCGACCUGAGAGGGUGAUCGGCCACACUGGAACUGAGACACGGUCCAGACUCCUACGGGAGGCAGCAGUAGGGAAUCUUCCGCAAUGGGCGAAAGCCUGACGGAGCAACGCCGCGUGAGUGAUGAAGGUCUUCGGAUCGUAAAACUCUGUUAUUAGGGAAGAACAUAUGUGUAAGUAACUGUGCACAUCUUGACGGUACCUAAUCAGAAAGCCACGGCUAACUACGUGCCAGCAGCCGCGGUAAUACGUAGGUGGCAAGCGUUAUCCGGAAUUAUUGGGCGUAAAGCGCGCGUAGGCGGUUUUUUAAGUCUGAUGUGAAAGCCCACGGCUCAACCGUGGAGGGUCAUUGGAAACCGGAAAACUUGAGUGCAGAAGAGGAAAGUGGAAUUCCAUGUGUAGCGGUGAAAUGCGCAGAGAUAUGGAGGAACACCAGUGGCGAAGGCGACUUUCUGGUCUGUAACUGACGCUGAUGUGCGAAAGCGUGGGGAUCAAACAGGAUUAGAUACCCUGGUAGUCCACGCCGUAAACGAUGAGUGCUAAGUGUUAGGGGGUUUCCGCCCCUUAGUGCUGCAGCUAACGCAUUAAGCACUCCGCCUGGGGAGUACGACCGCAAGGUUGAAACUCAAAGGAAUUGACGGGGACCCGCACAAGCGGUGGAGCAUGUGGUUUAAUUCGAAGCAACGCGAAGAACCUUACCAAAUCUUGACAUCCUUUGACAACUCUAGAGAUAGAGCCUUCCCCUUCGGGGGACAAAGUGACAGGUGGUGCAUGGUUGUCGUCAGCUCGUGUCGUGAGAUGUUGGGUUAAGUCCCGCAACGAGCGCAACCCUUAAGCUUAGUUGCCAUCAUUAAGUUGGGCACUCUAAGUUGACUGCCGGUGACAAACCGGAGGAAGGUGGGGAUGACGUCAAAUCAUCAUACCCCUUAUGAUUUGGGCUACACACGUGCUACAAUGGACAAUACAAAGGGCAGCGAAACCGCGAGGUCAAGCAAAUCCCAUAAAGUUGUUCUCAGUUCGGAUUGUAGUCUGCAACUCGACUACAUGAAGCUGGAAUCGCUAGUAAUCGUAGAUCAGCAUGCUACGGUGAAUACGUUCCCGGGUCU
rnacentral:rRNA from 1 species